rnacentral:rRNA from 1 species
AAGAGCUCGUAGGUGGUUUGUCGCGUCGUCUGUGAAAUCCCGGGGCUUAACUUCGGGCGUGCAGGCGAUACGGGCAUAACUUGAGUGCUGUAGGGGAGACUGGAAUUCCUGGUGUAGCGGUGAAAUGCGCAGAUAUCAGGAGGAACACCGAUGGCGAAGGCAGGUCUCUGGGCAGUUACUGACGCUGAGGAGCGAAAGCAUGGGUAGCGAACAGGAUUAGAUACCCUGGUAGUCCAUGCCGUAAACGGUGGGCGCUAGGUGUAGGGGGCUUCCACGUCUUCUGUGCCGUAGCUAACGCAUUAAGCGCCCCGCCUGGGGAGUACGGCCGCAAGGCUAAAACUCAAAGGAAUUGACGGGGGCCCGCACAAGCGGCGGAGCAUGUGGAUUAAUUCGAUGCAACGCGAAGAACCUUACCUGGGCUUGACAUAUACAGGAUCGGGCUAGAGAUAGUCUUUCCCUUGUGGUCUGUAUACAGGUGGUGCAUGGUUGUCGUCAGCUCGUGUCGUGAGAUGUUGGGUUAAGUCCCGCAACGAGCGCAACCCUUGUCUUAUGUUGCCAGCACGUGAUGGUGGGAACUCAUGAGAGACUGCCGGGGUUAACUCGGAGGAAGGUGGGGACGACGUCAAAUCAUCAUGCCCCUUAUGUCCAGGGCUUCACACAUGCUACAAUGGUCGAUACAGUGGGCAGCGACAUCGUAAGGUGGAGCGAAUCCCUGAAAGUCGGCCUUAGUUCGGAUUGGGGUCUGCAACUCGACCCCAUGAAGUCGGAGUCGCUAGUAAUCGCAG